rnacentral:rRNA from 1 species
AAAUGACUCUCGACAACGGAUAUCUUGGCUCUUGCAUCGAUGAAGAACGUAGCGAAAUGCGAUACUUGGUGUGAAUUGCAGAAUCCCGUGAACCAUCGAGUCUUUGAACGCAAGUUGCGCCUGAAACCAUUAGGUUGAAGGCACGUCUGCCUGGGCGUCA